rnacentral:tRNA from 1 species
AUGGAAAUCUCUGUAAUUUUUAGAUAGUAUAGGGGCGGAUGUAGCCAAGUGGAUCAAGGCA